UACAGAGGGUGCAAGCGUUGCUCGGAAUCAUUGGGCGUAAAGGGCAGGUAGGUGGUCUGAUUUGUCUGGAGGUGAAAGCCUUGGGCUUAACCCAAGAAGUGCCCCGGAAACGGUCAGACUUUGAGUCUUGGAGAGGGUUGCGGAAUUCCCGGUGUAGCGGUGAAAUGCGUGAGAUAUGCGGAGGAACACCGAUGGCGAAGGCAAUCCCCUGGGCCUGCACUGACGCUCGAUGCACGAAAGCGUGGGGAGCAAACAGG
rnacentral:rRNA from 1 species